rnacentral:rRNA from 1 species
ACUCAAAUGAAUAGACGGGGGCCCGCACAAGCAGCGGAGCGUGUGGUUUAAUUCGAUGCAACGCGAAAAACCUUACCUGGGCUUGACGUGUCUGUAGUAGUGAAGCGAAAGCGGAACGACCCUUCGGGGAGCAGAUGCAGGUGCUGCAUGGCUGUCGUCAGCUCGUGUCGUGAGAUGUUGGGUUAAGUCCCGCAACGAGCGCAACCCUCGUCGCUAGUUACACGUGUCUAGCGAGACCGCCGAUAUCAAAUCGGAGGAAGGUGGGGAUGACGUCAAGUCAGCAUGGCCUUUAUGUCCAGGGCUACACACACGCUACAAUGGCCGGUACAAUGGGCAGCCAAAGAGCGAUCUGGAGCGAAUCCCAUCAAAGCCGGUCGUAGUUCAGAUUGUAGGCUGCAACCCGCCUACAUGAAGCCGGAGUUGCUAGUAAACGCAGGUCAGCAUUACUGCGUUGAAUACGUUCCCGGGCCUUGUACACACCGCCCGU